UUUAGAGGAACCUGCCCUAUAAACGAUGAACCACGAGAUACAUUACUUUUAUUAGAAAUCAGUUUGUAUACCGCUGUUGUCAGUUAGUUUCUUUAGAAAACUUUCUCAUAUGAUAUAAUCAUUGACUUCAAGUAAAGGUGCAGCUUAUAUAAAAGUUAGAGGUGGGUUACAUUUUAAAGAGAAAAUAACGAAUAGAUUUUCUGAAAAAAUUCUUGAAGGUGGAUUUAAUAGUAAAGUUUAAAAAAACUUGAUAAAGGC
rnacentral:rRNA from 1 species